rnacentral:rRNA from 1 species
AGGACGAACGCUGGCGGCGUGCUUAACACAUGCAAGUCGAGCGGUGAUCCUCCUUCGGGAGGUGAUCAGCGGCGAACGGGUGAGUAACACGUGGGCAACCUGCCCCUCACACUGGGAUAACCUCGGGAAACCGGGCUAAUACCGGAUACGACCUCGAGCGGCAUCUCUUGAGGUGGAAAGCUCCGACGGUGAGGGAUGGGCCCGCGGCCUAUCAGCUUGUUGGUGGGGUAAUGGCCUACCGAAGGCGACGACGGGUA